AAUUUACUUAAAGCUGGUCCUAAGAAGGGAUCAUCUUAUACUUGGCAAAGCAUUGUGGCAGGCAUUCAAACUUUCCAGCAAGGAUGUAUUUGGAGGGUUGGUUCUGGAACACACAUAAACAUUUGGCAGGACCCUUGGAUCCCAACUAGUGCAACACGGAAGGUAAUUACCCCUAGAGGGACAGUAAUUUUGUCAAAAGUGGAGGAGCUUAUUGAUCCUUACACUGGAAAUUAGGAUGAUGUGCUUUUGAGAGAUUGUUUCUCACCAGUAGAUGUGCAAAGGAUAUUGCAAAUUCCGCUUAACACACAUAUGACGAAGGACUUUGUUGCUUGGAACUAUACAAGGUGUGGUACCUUCUCAGUACGAUCGGCUUAUUACAGGGAGUUGGAACACCAAUUUGGUCCUCGUCUUAUAAGAGCUGAUGGGCAAGGUAAUGUCCAUAUAAAUGAGGUAUGGAAAGAUGCAUGGAAACUUAAGGUGCCUGGCAAAGUAAAACACUUCACAUGGAAAGUGCUUCAUGGAGUUCUCCCAUGUUACGGCAUUAUUGCUUGCCGACAUAUCCCCAUAUUGCCACAGUGUCCUCGAUGCUCAAUCGAUGCAGAAGAUGUGCAACACACACUCUUUGGCUGCCGUAAGGUAAAGGAAGUUUGGAGAUGCUUAGGCCUCUUGGAAACUAUGAAGAAAGCAAUGGGAGAAGAUAGAUUUGGUGCCAUCACCUUGGACAUACUGCUCAAACUUACAGAGACAGUCGAUAGUCUGCCGGUGGCGGAACUGGCAACAGUUGCAGCGUGGUUUCUAUGGUGGCAGCGACACCAGCUUGUGAAAGGAGUGGAAAUCCAAGGCCCAGAUAAAACAGCAAUGUCAAUUAAACUCCUUGCAACAAACUAUAUCCCAUCUUUGAUGCCCAAGUUGCCAGCGAGGACUGGUAAUCAUAUGUGA
rnacentral:rRNA from 1 species